GCCUGGGUGGCUCAGUGGGUUAAGCGUCUGACUUCAGCUCAGGUCAUGAAUGCACAGUUCAUGGGUUCAAGCCCCAAGUCAGGCU
rfam:Felis catus isolate Cinnamon breed Abyssinian chromosome C1, whole genome shotgun sequence.